UCUGAAUAUGGGGGGACCAUCCUCCAAGGCUAAAUACUCCUGACUGACCGAUAGUGAACCAGUACCGUGAGGGAAAGGCGAAAAGAACCCCUGUGAGGGGAGUGAAAUAGAACCUGAAACCGUGUACGUACAAGCAGUAGGAGCACCUUCGUGGUGUGACUGCGUACCUUUUGUAUAAUGGGUCAGCGACUUAUAUUCAGUGGCAAGGUUAACCAUCUAGGGGAGCCGUAGGG
rnacentral:rRNA from 1 species